UACGGAGGGUGCAAGCGUUAUCCGGAUUUAUUGGGUUUAAAGGGUGCGCAGGCGGAAAAUUAAGUCAGUAGUGAAAUCCUGCAGCUCAACUGUAGAACUGUUAUUGAUACUGAUUUUCUUGAAUUUAGUUGAGGUAGGCGGAAUGUGUAAUGUAGCGGUGAAAUGCUUAGAUAUUACACAGAACACCGAUUGCGAAGGCAGCUUACUAAGCUAAUAUUGACGCUGAGGCACGAAAGCGUGGGUAGCGAACAGG
rnacentral:rRNA from 1 species